AAACCGUUACCAUUACUGAGUUU
rnacentral:ncRNA from 13 species